rnacentral:rRNA from 1 species
CCUACGGGUGGCUGCAGUGAGGAAUAUUGGUCAAUGGCCGGAAGGCUGAACCAGCCAAGUCGCGUGAGGGACGACUGCCCUAUGGGUUGUAAACUUCUUUUAUAAGGGAAGAAUAAAUGCUACGUGUAGCAUGAUGUCUGUACCUUAUGAAUAAGCAUCGGCUAACUCCGUGCCAGCAGCCGAGGUAAUACGGAGGAUGCGAGCGUUAUCCGGAUGUAUUGGGUUUAAAGGGGGCGUAGGCGGUUUGUUAAGGUAGUGGUUAAACGUAGGGGCGUAACCUGGAGGUGCCAGUCAGACUGUCAGACUCGAGUUCCGACGCGGUAGGCGGAAUCAGUUCCGUAGCGGUGACAUGCUUAGAUAUCACU